rnacentral:rRNA from 1 species
UACGUAGGCAGCGAGCGUUGUUCGGAGUUACUGGGCGUAAAGGGUGUGUAGGCGGUUGUUUAAGUUUGGUGUGAAAUCUCCCGGCUCAACUGGGAGGGUGCGCCGAAUACUGAAUGACUUGGAGUGCGGGAGAGGAAAGUGGAAUUCCUGGUGUAGCGGUGAAAUGCGUAGAUAUCAGGAAGAACACCCGUGGCUAAGGCGGCUCUCUAGUACGGUACUGACGCUGAGACGCGAAAGCGUGGGGGAGCGAACAGG